CGGUAAUUCCAGCUCCAAAAGCGUAUAUUAAAGUUGUUGCAGUUAAAACGCUCGUAGUCGGGUUUCGGGUCGGGCCGAGCGGCCUGCCGAUGGGUAUGCACUGUUUGGCGCGGCCUUCUUUCCGGAGACCGCGGCUACUCUUAACUGAGCGGGCGUGGGAGACGGAUCGUUUACUUUGAAAAAAUCAGAGUGUUUCAGGCAGGCAGCUCGCUCUUGCAUGGUACAGCAUGGGAUGAUUGAAUAGGACUCCGGUGCUAUUUUGUUGGUUUCGAACACCACGAGUAAUGAUUAACAGGGACAGUCGGGGGCACUCGGAUUCCGUCGAGAGAGGUGAAAUUCUCAGACCAAUGGAAGACGAACUACUGCGAAAGCAUUUGCCAGGGAUGUUUUCACUGAUCAAGAACGAAAGUUAGGGGAUCGAAGACGAUCAGAUACCGUCGUAGUCUUAACCAUAAACCAUGCCGACUAGGGAUUGGAGGGUGUUCGUUUCGACCUCUUCAGCACCUUACGGGAAACUAAAGUCUUUGGGUUCCGGGGGGAGUAUGGUCGCAAGGCUGAAACUUAAAGGAAUUGACGGAAGGGCACCACCAGGAGUGGAGCCUGCGGCUUAAUUUGACUCAACACGGGGAAACUUACCAGGUCCAGACAUUGUUAGGAUUGACAGAUUGAGAGCUCUUUCUUGAUUCGAUGGGUGGUGGUGCAUGGCCGUUCUUAGUUGGUGGAGUGAUUUGUCUGGUUAAUUCCGAUAACGAACGAGACCGUAGCCUGCUAAAUAGUCCCGCGAACUUCUUGUUGGCGGCCGACUUCUUAGAGGGACAACUUGUGACCAACAAGUGGAAGUUUGCGGCAAUAACAGGUCUGUGAUGCCCUUAGAUGUUCUGGGCCGCACGCGCGCUACACUGAAGCACUCAACGAGUCCACCUCGUCCGACAGGUCUGGGAAACCUUUUGAAAUUGCUUCGUGAUGGGGAUAGAUUAUUGCAACUAUUAAUCUUCAACGAGGAAUUCCUAGUAAGCGCAUGUCAUCAGCGUGCGUUGAUUACGUCCCUGCCCUUUGUACACACCGCCCGUCGCUCCUACCGAUUGAAUGAUCCGGUGAGGCCCCCGGACUGGGGCGACGCAUUCGGUUCACCGGACACGACGCUCCGGGAAGCUGUCCAAACCUUAUUAUUUAGAGGAAGGAGAAGUCGUAACAAGGUAGCCGU
rnacentral:rRNA from 1 species